rnacentral:rRNA from 1 species
UUAAAAACUCCGGUGGUUAAAGAUGGGCAUGCGUUGUAUUAGCUAGUUGGUGAGGUAACGGCUCACCAAGGCAACGAUACAUAGGGGGACUGAGAGGUUAACCCCCCACAUUGGUACUGAGACACGGACCAAACUCCUACGGGAGGCAGCAGUGAGGAAUAUUGGUCAAUGGACGCAAGUCUGAACCAGCCAUGCCGCGUGCAGGAAGACGGCUCUAUGAGUUGUAAACUGCUUUUGUACUAGGGUAAACGCUUCUACGUGUAGGAGCCUGAAAGUAUAGUACGAAUAAGGAUCGGCUAACUCCGUGCCAGCAGCCGCGGUAAUACGGAGGAUCCAAGCGUUAUCCGGAUUUAUUGGGUUUAAAGGGUGCGUAGGCGGUUUGAUAAGUUAGAGGUGAAAUACCGGGGCUCAACUCCGGAACUGCCUCUAAUACUGUUGAACUAGAGAGUAGUUGCGGUAGGCGGAAUGUAUGGUGUAGCGGUGAAAUGCUUAGAGAUCAUACAGAACACCGAUUGCGAAGGCAGCUUACCAAACUAUAUCUGACGUUGAGGCACGAAAGCGUGGGGAGCAAACAGGAUUAGAUACCCUGGUAGUCCACGCAGUAAACGAUGAUAACUCGUUGUCGGCGAUACACAGUCGGUGACU